rnacentral:rRNA from 1 species
UGGGGAAUAUUGCACAAUGGGGGGAACCCUGAUGCAGCGACGCCGCGUGAGUGAAGAAGUAUUUCGGUAUGUAAAGCUCUAUCAGCAGGGAAGAAAAUGACGGUACCUGACUAAGAAGCCCCGGCUAACUACGUGCCAGCAGCCGCGGUAAUACGUAGGGGGCAAGCGUUAUCCGGAUUUACUGGGUGUAAAGGGAGCGUAGACGGCGGUGCAAGUCUGGAGUGAAAGCCCGUGGCCCAACCGCGGGACUGCUUUGGAAACUGCAUGGCUAGAGUGCUGGAGAGGUAAGUGGAAUUCCUAGUGUAGCGGUGAAAUGCGUAGAUAUUAGGAGGAACACCAGUGGCGAAGGCGGCUUACUGGACAGUAACUGACGUUGAGGCUCGAAAGCGUGGGGAGCAAACAGG